rnacentral:rRNA from 1 species
GAUGAACGCUGGCGGCGCGCCUAACACAUGCAAGUCGAACGGAGUCAAGAGGAGCUUGCUUUUCUUGACUUAGUGGCGAACGGGUGAGUAACGCGUGAGUAACCUGCCCUGGAGUGGGGGACAACAGUUGGAAACGACUGCUAAUACCGCAUAAGCCCACGGAUCCGCAUGGAUCUGCGGGAAAAGGAUUUAUUCGCUUCAGGAUGGACUCGCGUCCAAUUAGCUAGUUGGUGAGGUAACGGCCCACCAAGGCGACGAUUGGUAGCCGGACUGAGAGGUUGAACGGCCACAUUGGGACUGAGACACGGCCCAGACUCCUACGGGAGGCAGCAGUGGGGGAUAUUGCACAAUGGGGGAAACCCUGAUGCAGCGACGCCGCGUGGAGGAAGAAGGUUUUCGGAUUGUAAACUCCUGUCGUUAGGGACGAUAAUGACGGUACCUAACAAGAAAGCACCGGCUAACUACGUGCCAGCAGCCGCGGUAAAACGUAGGGUGCAAGCGUUGUCCGGAAUUACUGGGUGUAAAGGGAGCGCAGGCGGACCGGCAAGUUGGAAGUGAAAACUAUGGGCUCAACCCAUAAAUUGCUUUCAAAACUGCUGGCCUUGAGUAGUGCAGAGGUAGGUGGAAUUCCCGGUGUAGCGGUGGAAUGCGUAGAUAUCGGGAGGAACACCAGUGGCGAAGGCGACCUACUGGGCACCAACUGACGCUGAGGCUCGAAAGCAUGGGUAGCAAACAGGAUUAGAUACCCUGGUAGUCCAUGCCGUAAAACGAAUGAUUAUUAGGUGUUGGAGGAUUGACCCCUUCAGUGCCGCAGUUAACACAAUAAGUAAUCCACCUGGGGAGUACGACCGCAAGGUUGAAACUCAAAGGAAUUGACGGGGGCCCGCACAAGCAGUGGAGUAUGUGGUUUAAUUCGAAGCAACGCGAAGAACCUUACCAGGUCUUGACAUCCGAUGCAUAGUGCAGAGAUGCAUGAAGUCCUUCGGGACAUCGAGACAGGUGGUGCAUGGUUGUCGUCAGCUCGUGUCGUGAGAUGUUGGGUUAAGUCCCGCAACGAGCGCAACCCUUAUUGCCAGUUACUACGCAAGAGGACUCUGGCGAGACUGCCGUUGACAAAACGGAGGAAGGUGGGGAUGACGUCAAAUCAUCACGCCCUUUAUGACCUGGGCUACACACGUACUACAAUGGCGUUUAACAAAGAGAAGCAAGACCGCGAGGUGGAGCAAAACUCAAAAACAACGUCUCAGUUCAGAUUGCAGGCUGCAACUCGCCUGCAUGAAGUCGGAAUUGCUAGUAAUCGCGGAUCAGCAUGCCGCGGUGAAUACGUUCCCGGGCCUUGCAC